GUACUCCAUGCUGGGCAACAGAUUGGAACAAUACAGAGAAGACUGGCAUGGCCCCUGAGCAAGGAUGACACACAAAUUCAUGAAGCAUUCCGUAUUUUU
rnacentral:snRNA from 1 species